UGGCGGACGGGUGAGUAACGCGUGGGUAACCUGCCUUGCACUGGGGGAUAACACUUAGAAAUAGGUGCUAAUACCGCAUAAGCGCACGGUCCUGCAUGGGACAGUGUGAAAAACUCCGGUGGUGCAAGAUGGACCCGCGUCUGAUUAGCUGGUUGGCGGGGUAAAGGCCCACCAAGGCGACGAUCAGUAGCCGGCCUGAGAGGGUGGACGGCCACAUUGGGACUGAGACACGGCCCAAACUCCUACGGAAGGCAGCAG
rnacentral:rRNA from 1 species